CCUACGGGAGGCAGCAGUGAGGAAUAUUGGUCAAUGGACGCAAGUCUGAACCAGCCAUGCCGCGUGCAGGAAGACGGCUCUAUGAGUUGUAAACUGCUUUUGUACGAGGGUAAACGCAGAUACGUGUAUCUGUCUGAAAGUAUCGUACGAAUAAGGAUCGGCUAACUCCGUGCCAGCAGCCGCGGUAAUAGGAAGGAGUCAAUUGUUAUCCGGAUUUAUUUGGUUUAAAGGGUUCGUAGGCGGUCGGGUAAGUUAGAGGUGAAAUCCCAUGGCUCAACUUCGGGAGUGCCUUUGAUACUGUGCUGCUAGCGAGUAGAUGCGGUAGGCGGAAUGUAUGGUGUAGCGGAGACAUGCUUAGA
rnacentral:rRNA from 1 species